rnacentral:rRNA from 1 species
AAUGAACGCUGGCGGCAGGCCUAACACAUGCAAGUCGAACGAGUGGCGGACGGGUGAGUAAUGUCUGGGAAACUGCCUGAUGGAGGGGGAUAACUACUGGAAACGGUAGCUACUACCGCAUACCAUCAGAUGUGCCCAUAUGGGAUUAGCUAGUUGGUGGGGUCACGGCUCACCAAGGCGACGAUCCCUAGCUGGUCUUCGAGGAUGAACAGCCACACUGGAACUGGGACACGGUCCAGAAGCCUACGGGAGGCAGCAGUGGGGAAUAUUGCACAAUGGGCGAAAGCCUGAUGCAGCCAUGCCGCGUGUAUGAAGAAGGCCUUCGGGUGGUAAAGUACUUUCAGCGGGGAGGCGUUACCCGCAGAAGAAGCACCGGCUAACUCCGUGCCAGCAGCCGCGGUAAUAC